AUUGAACGCUAGCGGGAUGCUUUACACAUGCAAGUCGAACGAGUGGCGGACGGGUGAGUAAUAUAUCGGAACGUGCCCAGUAGCGGGGGAUAACUACUCGAAAGAGUGGCUAAUACCGCAUACUCUUGGAGCGGCCGAUAUGGGAUUAGCUAGUGGGUGGGGUAAAGGCUCACCUAGGCAACGAUCCGUAGCUGGUUUGAGAGGACGACCAGCCACACUGGGACGGAGACACGGCCCAGACUCCUACGGGAGGCAGCAGUGGGGAAUAUUGGACAAUGGGAGAAACCCUGAUCCAGCCAUGCCGCGUGUGUGAGAAGGCCUUCGGGUUGUAAAGUACUUUUAGCGGGGAAGCGGUAUCUGCAGAAGAAGCACCGGCUAACUCCGUGCCAGCAGCCGCGGUAAUUC
rnacentral:rRNA from 1 species